rnacentral:rRNA from 1 species
UACGAAGGGGGCUAGCGUUGCUCGGAAUGACUGGGCGUAAAGGGCGCGUAGGCGGAGUGCUUUGUCGGGCGUGAAAUUCCAGGGCUCAACCUUGGGGCUGCGUUCGAGACGGGCAUUCUAGAGUGGAGAAGAGGGUCGUGGAAGUUCCCAGUGUAGAGGUGAAAUUCGUAGAUAUUGGGAAAGAACACCGGGUGGCGAAGGCGGCGACCUGGUCUUUUACUGACGCUGAGGCGCGAAAGCGUGGGGAGGCAAACAGG